rnacentral:antisense_RNA from 1 species
AAUUAUGGUGAGCUGGGCGGGGCUGACUUCGGUCGGGCCGUUUCCUAUGUCACGGUAGUUCCUAACCCCGUUCAGUUCACCACCCGC